UACAUGGAGCCAUUUUUCUGUGAAUCCUGAAAUCCUCAUGAUUGCAUGUUCCCCUAUUGAGUAUAUUUUAUUUUGUUUUUCAUUUUUUAAAAUAAUCGUUAUGUUAAGCCUAUGUUAGAAAACAGUGGCAAAAUGAGGUAUUAUGGCUUCUCUGAUGUUUUUAUGUUACUUCUAAAUUCAUUUCCCAGAUACCAUGCUAAGAAACAAAAGUUUGGAAAAAUGUGUUUUAUUUUUCUCUUUGAAAAUUUAACACAAAAUGCACCAGGAGCAGCGACAAACAUAUAGAAAUCUCUCACUGGAAUUAGAUUCGGGCAAGAUAUCUAGUUUCUGUAGGGAAAAUUUAAAUUGGAGGUCAUCCGAUUUAUCAAAUGAGCUUCCUGUUACUUAGUCCAAUUGGCAUCUCAAAAGGUCAGUAGAUUUUCAGUCAGAAGUUCAAAAGUUAUAGUACAACUUUUUUUUAGCAUUAAAAAGAUAACCUCCUGGAUCAAAUGAAAGUCCUUUGUUUAAUUAAAGACCCUGUUUUCCUCAGUGACCAAUCCCUCUGGAAAACCCUUACAUAAGAUAGGACCAGAGUAGCUCCCAUUUUUUUGCACCAAGCAAACAGUAUAUAUAAAGAAAUUACAUUUCUAACCUGAAAUUCCUGACAAAUAUCAUAAGUAAGAUGUUAUGGGAAGAUCAUCAAUCAUUUAAAGCCAUGCAAGUUGGUUGCUGCUUCUACAUUUUAGGUACAACUACUGGCAGGAAAGCAUUUGAAGACACCUUAUCAAACCUGUUGCUUCCAUUCCUGAAUUCUCCAGAUGCCCACAUCUUACAAUAUGUCACAUAUAAGUAUUUCGUGCAAACCAGAGAUUCUCCUUUCUUUUGAAUAUACAUAUAGCUGAAGAGGAUGGGGAGAUGAGACAAUGGCAGCUUUGCUUUCUCCGUAAUCUUCUUUUACAUUCUCUACAAGACAACUGAGAACCUUCUUCCCUACAGCCAGCUGGAAGGGGACAAAAUAUAGAUGGGGCAGCAAUCCUUGUUUCUGAAAACCCAGAGUGGAGAUGUAAAGCAGAGAGCUCUCCUUCAGUUACCAUGGAAGGAAUCAGAAGACAUCUCAGUUUUUUUUUUCCCAGGAGCUCAAGACAGCACUCACCAGACUUCCUUCUCCUAUUUUAUUCUUAGAAGAUACUGAACUUAACAAUCUGUCUCAAAGCAUCCAGUGAGCUCCCAUAGCAGAACGCAGAGUUGAAUCUGAGGACUCCUAGUCCUAGCCAAUCAUCUAACUACUAAUCUUUUGGCAACAGAUUACCAAGGGAGAAUGCCAAACAGAAAGCAUGAAAGCAUGGCUCUGAAAAAAAUUCUAGUCCUGCUGUAACAGUAAGCUUGUAAUCUGGGGCUCCUUCUGGAUUCACGAUUCCUUUAAGAAGAGCGUAUAGAAGUCUGGUUAAGAAAGCCUUUGCUCACAUUUGGCUGAUGAUUUUCAAAAAUAGGGACGCUAGCGACAACCAUCCUUUGCCUUGGCUGGUACGAAGUAUGCCAUCCCAACUGAGAAGGAAUGUCAUCCACUGUCAUGUAACACCUUUACUUUGAAAGCUGCAGUGGUUGCGGCUCGCUUGUUGGUAUUAGUGUACACAGCUACAGACAUCUUUCAA